rnacentral:rRNA from 1 species
GUGGGGAAUCUUCCGCAAUGGACGAAAGUCUGACGGAGCAACGCCGCGUGAGUGAUGAAGGUCUUCGGAUUGUAAAGCUCUGUUAAUCGGGACGAAAGAGCCUAGUGUGAAUAAUGCUAGGAAGUGACGGUACCGGAAUAGAAAGCCACGGCUAACUACGUGCCAGCAGCCGCGGUAAUACGUGGGUGGCAAGCGUUGUCCGGAAUUAUUGGGCGUAAAGCGCGCGCAGGCGGAUCUGCCAGUCUGUCUUAAAAGUUCGGGGCUUAACCCCGUGAUGGGAUGGAAACUACAGAGCUAGAGUAUCGGAGAGGAAAGUGGAAUUCCUAGUGUAGCGGUGAAAUGCGUAGAUAUUAGGAAGAACACCAGUGGCGAAGGCGACUUUCUGGACGAAAACUGACGCUGAGGCGCGAAAGCCAGGGGAGCGAACGGGAUUAGAAACCCCGGUAGUCC